GAGGAAGCAGAGGUGGGCGUCGUCCUUUCGGCGCCUCCUUUGUCCCCGGGCCGGGCGGGGACGGAGCUGUGUUUGGUGGGACUUGAACCCCCGGCUCCCGGCCUCCCCGGCGCCCGCCCGGGGCGUCUGAGGCAAAACAGCUUGGAUUUAGGGAUCGGUGUCAGUUCCAGGCCGACCGCCUCCACUUCCCUCCCGCCUCGCCAGUAAUUGGACCCUGCUGUUUUGCUUUGAUUAUUUAAAUCAACGACUACCGAUCCGGUAAUUCCCGUCCCAGCGCUAUCACCUUCCUGAGUAAGCUGUCAUCUGAGCCUGGAUUCCUCUCCUGUAAGAGUUAUCAGAUCACUUAUUCAUAGGUAUGUUGUAGAAGCUAAAUAAGAAAUAUAAGCUUUUAGACAGGGUUAACAAUAAAUAUUAGCUACAUUUUUAUUAUUUUGGCAAAACAUGUAAGAAAAACUCGAUUGAGAAAAGCCUUUUCAUUAUACUUUUAAAAUUUUGGAAGUUUGUUGGACCUUUUCAUUUUAGUUGUGGUGAUGGUGAGAUUAUUGAUAAAAACAAAACACCCCACCACAUUUGCCUUUUAAGAAGUCCAAGUUGUAUAAUACCCUGAAGAGAAAAAUGAAAAGAUCUCAGGUAAAGGCAGCUUUCAGUUAUCGCAACCUGAUACAAAAUCCACAAUUUGUUCUAAAAGUAUGUUGUCUGCACCAAUUUUCUCUUUAAAAAAAACUUUAAAGAAAUUUUUUUUAUUAUAGUUGAUAUUCAAUAUAUUAGUCUCAGGUGUACAGCACAGUGAUUAGAUGUUUAUAUAACUUGCAAGGUGAUUCCCCAUAAGUCUAGAGUCCACUUGACACCAGUUAUUGUAUUACCAAUGAUAUUCUCUGUGCUGUAUUUUAUAUCCCCUAUUUUGUAACUACUAAUUUGUACUUCUCAAUUCCUUCACUUUGUCCAUCCAGUCCCCCAACCCUGUAUUACAUGGUUUUAACACCCAUCUUUAAGUGGAUAUUUUACCUUGGUGUGUUUUUGUUGUGUUUUUUUUCAGGCAGAAAUUUUGAAGUAUCCUUAUAUCAAUAUUUUGUCAGGUUCCUUCAGAGACGGUCUGCAUUGUUUCAGUGAAGAAUCUGACAAGAAUAUACACUUAUGCCAUUGUAGGUGGAAGAGAACAGAGUCCUCACAAACCACUCUUGAGAAAGGCCAAUAAGCAGCCAGGGAAGUCAUCAAUUUAAAGAACGAAAUGCUAUCUAGCCUAAGUUGCUAACUUUCUCCUUUCUAGUUAGCUAAAAUACUUAUAGGUAUUAGAAACUUUGACAUGCUGUGGGAUCUUGAAGUUAUUUUUUUAAAACGGCAUUCUACUUUUAAAAAGUUCUAUUUAUAUUUUAUGUCAUUAAUUGGCAGAGUAAUGAAUAUAGAAAAUGCUGAAAUGUGGGUCUCAUAAAUUUUAUAGGGAACACUAUUUAUGAGCGUUUUCUUUAAAGGUGGAUAUUACUCCAAGUUCCCAGUUUCUGAUGCUUUUAGCUUUUGGAUCAAUGAUGUAAUCACAGCCCUGCAUAACCUCUGGUGACAUAAAG